ACCAUAUCACAUUGAAACACUGAUUCUCAUAUGAUCACCAAAGUUAAGCAAUGUUGAGCCUGUUCAGUUACUAGAUGGGUGACCACUUAGGAAUACCACAUGCUGUAAG